rnacentral:rRNA from 1 species
GAUGAACCUCGCUUGCGGGGGGAUUAGUGGCGAACGGGUGAGUAACACGUGAGUAACCUGCCCUUAACUCUGGGAUAAGCCUUGGAAACGGGGUCUAAUACUGGAUAUUGACUUUACCUCGCAUGGGGUUUGGUUGAAAGAUUUAUUGGUUUUGGAUGGACUCGCGGCCUAUCAGCUUGUUGGUGAGGUAAUGGCUCACCAAGGCGACGACGGGUAGCCGGCCUGAGAGGGUGACCGGCCACACUGGGACUGAGACACGGCCCAGACUCCUACGGGAGGCAGCAGUGGGGAAUAUUGCACAAUGGGCGAAAGCCUGAUGCAGCGACGCCGCGUGAGGGAUGACGGCCUUCGGGUUGUAAACCUCUUUCAGUAGGGAACAAGGCCAGCAUUUUUGUUGGUUGAGGGUACUUGCAGAAGAAGCGCCGGCUAACUACGUGCCAGCAGCCGCGGUAAUACGUAGGGCGCAAGCGUUAUCCGGAAUUAUUGGGCGUAAAGAGCUCGUAGGCGGUUUGUCGCGUCUGCCGUGAAAGUCCGGGGCUCAACUCCGGAUCUGCGGUGGGUACGGGCAGACUAGAGUGAUGUAGGGGAGACUGGAAUUCCUGGUGUAGCGGUGAAAUGCGCAGAUAUCAGGAGGAACACCGAUGGCGAAGGCAGGUCUCUGGGCAUUAACUGACGCUGAGGAGCGAAAGCAUGGGGAGCGAACAGGAUUAGAUACCCUGGUAGUCCAUGCCGUAAACGUUGGGCACUAGGUGUGGGGGACAUUCCACGUUUUCCGCGCCGUAGCUAACGCAUUAAGUGCCCCGCCUGGGGAGUACGGCCGCAAGGCUAAAACUCAAAGGAAUUGACGGGGGCCCGCACAAGCGGCGGAGCAUGCGGAUUAAUUCGAUGCAACGCGAAGAACCUUACCARGGCUUGACAUGAACUGGAAAUACCUGGAAACAGGUGCCCCGCUUGCGGUCGGUUUACAGGUGGUGCAUGGUUGUCGUCAGCUCGUGUCGUGAGAUGUUGGGUUAAGUCCCGCAACGAGCGCAACCCUCGUUCUAUGUUGCCAGCACGUGAUGGUGGGGACUCAUAGGAGACUGCCGGGGUCAACUCGGAGGAAGGUGAGGACGACGUCAAAUCAUCAUGCCCCUUAUGUCUUGGGCUUCACGCAUGCUACAAUGGCCGGUACAAUGGGUUGCGAUACUGUGAGGUGGAGCUAAUCCCAAAAAGCCGGUCUCAGUUCGGAUUGGGGUCUGCAACUCGACCCCAUGAAGUCGGAGUCGCUAGUAAUCGCAGAUCAGCAACGCUGCGGUGAAUACGUUCCCGGGCCUUGUACACACCGCCCGUCAAGUCACGAAAGUUGGUAACACCCGAAGCCGGUGGCCUAACCCCC